GAUGAACGCUGGCGGCGUGCCUAAUACAUGCAAGUCGAGCGAACAGAUAAGGAGCUUGCUCCUUUGACGUUAGCGGCGGACGGGUGAGUAACACGUGGGUAACCUACCUAUAAGACUGGAAUAACUCCGGGAAACCGGGGCUAAUGCCGGAUAACAUUUAGAACCGCAUGGUUCUAAAGUGAAAGAUGGUUUUACUAUCACUUAUAGAUGGACCCGCGCCGUAUUAGCUAGUUGGUAAGGUAACGGCUUACCAAGGCAACGAUACGUAGCCGACCUGAGAGGAUGAUCGGCCACACUGGAACUGAGACACGGUCCAGACUCCUACGGGAGGCAGCAGUAGGGAAUCUUCCGCAAUGGGCGAAAGCCUGACGGAGCAACGCCGCGUGAGUGAUGAAGGUCUUCGGAUCGUAAAACUCUGUUAUUAGGGAAGAACAAAUGUGUAAGUAACUGUGCACGUCUUGACGGUACCUAAUCAGAAAGCCACGGCUAACUACGUG
rnacentral:rRNA from 1 species